CUGUUCUUAUCUCAACCCACGAGUUUUACUUUUUUUUUUUCCCACUUCUCUCCCCCGUCCCACUGGGUGGGGCGGGAGUGAGCGAGCAGCUGCGUGAUGCUUAGUUACCAGCUGGGGUUAAACCAGACCAGUCUUGCCUGGGGCUCACAGCCCCCUUUGCCCGUGAGUUAGCUGGGCAGGACUGAGCUGGAUGGAGACGCGAUGGAGAGGCGAGAAGGGACGUUCCUGCUCUGGCGUCAGGCAGAGACGGCAGCGCAGGUACGCUGCCCGGUGGGGGCGAGCGGUGUUCGGUGAGCCCGGGUCCCUGUUGGAAGAGUCUGUGGUCAACCGACCCCUCUCUGCCCUCUCCAAGCCACACAGGGCUUCUGAAAUCGUGAUUUUAUAGACCGCUUCUGUAUUUGCAGCAGAAGUCAUAAUAAUGAUGAUGAUAAGAAGAAGAAGAAGAAAUAUCAAAUUGCUCUCUGGAAAUGAAUAAUACUACGCUUACCAGGGUGAAUUAAAGCAUAAAAGUAAACCAUUAAAAGGUUAAUUAAGCCUUGUAGAGCCGCAGGCAGGUCAGGCCCUUCCUUCUCUCCACCUUUCCAGCCCUUCGGAAGCACGCACACCGAACCCAGUGAAAUCUGACCCAGGAUCUUUACAUUCUAACACAGAAAACUGCUGGGCUGAGCCCUCAGGACAUGCCAAGGCAUCCCGCCGAGGACCAUCUCAGCCCGCUGUGAUGAGAACACUUGGUCACGGAGGCAGGAGUGGUCCAGCGGCCGGAGCUGGAGAGACCGAGCCAGUGCAUCCCAGCGCUCUGCCGGCUUCUGCUUGGAGCUCCCUGCAGGUUUGUUCCUCCGCCUGCAGUCAGGGGCAGGGCUAUAAUAGUGUUUACCUGUGUUACAGGAAGAGAUAGUUGAAUAAGAGGUAGCAGGAAGAAAAAUAAGCAUGAUAGCUAUGUGAAAAUGUGGCAAGAACAGUCUCCUGUGCUGGCAUAGCAUUCAGUGCAGUCGGAUCUUUGAACAUUAUC